GCAGGUUGGGUCUAGGUUGGAUCAAGUAAAGUAUUUAAUACCCAGGUUUAAAGUUCCAGGCAUGCAGGGUGGCAAUCUUGGUACUACCACAAAUCCAAUGUUUUUCCAUGUAGCAAAAUAUGUUUUAGUUUGCUUGUCCUUCGUGGCAAUUGAGGAUUGGUGGACAACACAAGGAUAGAUGUCUUUUUAGCAUUUUUCAUAGUUAAAGGAGUUUUUGAGUGAAGAAAUAGCCUACGGAAAGUGGG
rnacentral:lncRNA from 1 species